rnacentral:rRNA from 1 species
UACGUAGGGGGCUAGCGUUGUCCGGAAUCAUUGGGCGUAAAGAGCGUGUAGGCGGCUAGAUAGGUCCGUUGUGAAAACUCGAGGCUCAACCUCGAGACGCCGGUGGAAACCAUCUAGCUAGAGUCCGGAAGAGGAGAGUGGAAUUCCUGGUGUAGCGGUGAAAUGCGCAGAUAUCAGGAAGAACACCCGUGGCGAAGGCGGCUCUCUGGUACGUGACUGACGCUGAGACGCGAAAGCGUGGGGAGCGAACAGG